AACGAACGCUGGCGGCGUGCUUAACACAUGCAAGUCGAACGCGAAAGGGACUUCGGUCCUGAGUAAAGUGGCGCACGGGUGAGUAACGCGUAGAUAACCUGUCUUCGAGUCUGGAAUAAUACACCGAAAGGGGUACUAAUACCGGAUAUUCUUACAUUUCAUAAGUGAUGUAAGCAAAGGUGGCCUCUGCAUAUGCUACUGCUUGAAGAGGGGUCUGCGUACCAUUAGCUAGUAGGUAGGGUAAUGGCCUACCUAGGCUACGAUGGUUAGCGGGUCUGAGAGGAUGAUCCGCCACACUGGCACUGGAACACGGGCCAGACUCCUACGGGAGGCAGCAGUGAGGAAUAUUGCGCAAUGGGGGAAACCCUGACGCAGCGACGCCGCGUGGGCGAUGAAGG
rnacentral:rRNA from 1 species